CAAUCAUCAUUUCUAAGAAGUAAGGUUGAGAAGAAUAUCUAUAGGGGCGGUCUAAUAGCAAUAUUAGACGCAAACUGAGCUAUAUGCUGGGAAAACUGUUCCUUAAAUGGAUGCAGAGUUUGCAUUACCGCGGUUCGACCGGGUAAAAAAAUGUAAACGCAGUUCAUCAGCAGGGAAGUCGUUCGCCUAAAGCGGAUUGACCCCUCAACGACUAUACGCUUGGCUUCCUUGAUAAAAGGAAGAUGAUAUAGUCUGAACUGCAUGGCGACAUGCAG
rnacentral:ncRNA from 1 species